rnacentral:tRNA from 1 species
GGGGUCAUAGCUCAGUUGGUAGAGCGUCGCGUUCGCAAUGCGAAGGUCUGCGGUUCAAUUCCGCAUGGCUCCACCA